CAUGGUGUCCCUUUCCUUUUCACACUGUAACAAGAGUUAUUUUGAACCUUAGGUACAUACGACUUUCCUUGGUUUCCAAUUAGAUUUGGAGUUUGUUUUUGGCUUAAGAUUGGGUGUUUUGGCUUCUCGGAUGGUUGGUGUUAGAAGGAUACUUUGCACACAUGAUCCAGUUUAGGUUCUCUCACGUUCUGAUCUUUGGCUUAUGUUCAUAUCAUCGAUUGUACUCGUCUUGAUCCACCACCUCAAAGCGUUAACCAUGACUUGUCCAAGGGCAAGUGAAAGAUUGUCAUCGUGUGGUGUAGAAUGAUAAUCGAAGUAGUAAUUCAUAUUUUCUUCCCACUGUCGAUAAUCCAAUCCUGAAAAGAAAGAGUUUAGGUACAUAAGUAUUAAAUCCAUUGUUCAAAAAUAUUCUGAUUUUGGAUUUGCGAGUGGGCUAGAAAUUGGUAGCCC